rnacentral:rRNA from 1 species
AUUGAACGCUGGCGGCAUGCCUUACACAUGCAAGUCGAACGGCAGCACGGGAGCUUGCUCCUGGUGGCGAGUGGCGAACGGGUGAGUAAUACAUCGGAACGUACCCUGAAGUGGGGGAUAACGUAGCGAAAGUUACGCUGAUACCGCAUAUUCUGUGAGCAGGAAAGAGGGGGAUCGCAAGACCUCUUGCUUUAGGAGCGGCCGAUGUCGGAUUAGCUAGUUGGUGAGGUAAAGGCUCACCAAGGCGACGAUCCGUAGCGGGUCUGAGAGGAUGAUCCGCCACACUGGGACUGAGACACGGCCCAGACUCCUACGGGAGGCAGCAGUGGGGAAUUUUGGACAAUGGGCGCAAGCCUGAUCCAGCCAUGCCGCGUGAGUGAAGAAGGCCUCGGUUGUAAGCUCAUUCGGUGGGAAGAAUAGGCACGGGUUAA